rnacentral:lncRNA from 1 species
UCACACAAGAUUGAUUUCAGAAACUGUCAGAGGAAUUCCUUUUGGUUGCACUGAAAAAAAGCUCCGAGCUUCAUAGUAUUACCGGUAUUUACCGGGCGUUUCGGGCUCAGAAGCCGAAAGUUCCGGGUACUGGAGACGUAACUUUGAUUGCUCCGGGUGCUACGCUGACCCCGGAACGCGGACCGUAUGUCUAUAAAGCCCAUAAUUAUGGCUUCCACGGUCGGAACUUUUUUUUCAAUGUGAGAAUUUUGGAAGUCAUAGAUACGGGAAAACUUGAAAAGUUCGAGAAAAGGGGCUGAAAGUUUUUCUGGACACCUAGUUUUUCUCUCAGAUUGAUGGCACUGAGGGUUGGUCUAAGAAUCCCUUCUAGCCAUUUCUGUUUCAUUGACUGUACAUUUUUUUGUGAUGUUUAAUUAUGUAUUGCAUAUAAAACUUUUGGAGACUAUAUGAUAAAUAAAAAUACUUAAAAACUCACAUGGACGUAAUAUAUUUACUGGCGGACGCGUUUCGCCGGCUCGCAUAUUUAUUCAUCAAGUUUUUGUUGGUCUAAUUCGAAACAAAUCAUGCACAGGAAGUGAGAAUUCAUUUAAAAAAUGAUGGUUUGGCGUGUCACAAUUAGUUGCUUGCAUUCUCUCGAUGCAUUGAGCCGCGCAAGGUAGCGACGCGACUGUUAUCCUAUAUUUGUUCGUUACAUUACGUCAACAUGAGUGCUUUGUUUUUCUCAGCGGCUGUCUUCAUAUACUAUCUCAACUUUUUUCUACCAGACGUUUUGACUGCGACCAACCAGGCCCGCAGUACUGUGGUUGUCGUUGAGGAUCCUCUGACAAAUUGUGACAAUAGGGAUUAUGUGCUAGCCUUUGAUCCUAUGACUAUCACACGAGACGGCAAAUUUUUGAUCGUCAAUGGAAGAAUAAUAGUGCAAAGAGACCUUCAAAAUCCUCUUUCGUUUAUAAUCCGGAUCGAAAAAUGCAAGGAUAAGGGAAACCUCAAUUCCUGCGAAUAUUAUUCAACAUGGAAGUGGGACGAUGUAUGCAUACCAUUCAAAAUACUGCCUUUCAUGGAGGGCUUUUACAAGGCUCACGUGCCCAAAACUAACCAUUGUCCCUACAAAAAGUUUAUAAUCCGGAUCGAAAAAUGCAAGGAUAAGGGAAACCUCAAUUCCUGCGAGUAUUAUUCAACAUGGAAGUGGGACGAUGUAUGCAUACCAUUCGAAAUACUGCCUUUCUUUAAGGGCUUUACCAAUGCUUUUGUGCCCAAAGCUCACUGUCCCUACAAAAAGAAUAUUUAUGAAAUAAGAAACUUCAGGAUUCCAGCGGAUGCAAUGACUGCCAUGCUCCCGAACAGUGAAGGUCAUCCUCUCUAUAAUGUCCGCAUGCUUACCAAAGAGCAAAAAGAGAUUGUUUCUUGUAUAUUUCUCAGUUUUCGUUUCGCGACUGUCAGAAAAAAAGAUUAA